rnacentral:piRNA from 1 species
AUUGAAAACUGCUGGAGAAAAUUAAAUUG